GGGCCCGUGGCUUAGUCUGGUCACUCGCUAGGGUCGUACCCUGGUAGUGGGAUAAUGGAGCGCUCGACUGAUAAUCGAGUGGUCGUCGGUUCAAAUCCGAUCGGGCCCA
rnacentral:tRNA from 1 species